CCUACGGGCGGCAGCAGUGAGGAAUAUUGGUCAAUGGCCGAGAGGCUGAACCAGCCAAGUCGCGUGAGUGAAGACGGCCCUACGGGUUUUAAGCCUCUUUUGUCAGGGAGCAAGUUGCAGGUCGGGACCUGCUGUGCGAGUCCCUGAAGCAAAAGCAUCGGCUAACUCCGUGCCAGCAGCCGCGGUAAUACGGAGGAUCCGAGCGUUAUCCGGAUUUAUUGGGUUUAAAGGGUGCGUAGGCGGCCUUUUAAGUCAGCGGUGAAAGUCUGUGGCUCAACCAUAGAAUUGCGGUUGAAACUGGGGGGCUUGAGUAGGGUUGAGGCAGGCGGAAUGCGUGGUGUAGCGGUGAAAUGCGUAGAUAUUACGCAGAACCCCGAUUGCGAAGGCAGCCUGCUAAGCCAUGACUGACGCUGAUGCACGAAAGCGUGGGGAUCAAACAGGAUUAGAUACCCUAGUAGUC
rnacentral:rRNA from 1 species